GAUGAGUACAGUGGCGUACGGGUGAGUAACAUGUGGAUCAUCUACCUUUUAGUGGGGAAUACCGUUGGGAAACCGACGACAAUACCGCAUAAUCCCGAGAGGGGAAAGCAGCAAUGCGCUGAAAGAGGAGUCCGCGGCUGAUUAGCUAGUUGGCAGGGUAAUGGCCUACCAAGGCAACGAUCAGUAGCCGGCCUGAGAGGGCACACGGCCACACUGGCACUGAAACACGGGCCAGACUCCUACGGGAGGCAGCAGUGGGGAAUCUUGCACAAUGGGGGCAACCCUGAUGCAGCGACGCCGCGUGAGCGAUGAAGCCCUUCGGGGUGUAAAGCUCUUUCGGCAGGGAAGAUUAUGACGGUACCUGCAGAAGCAGCUGCGGCUAACUACGUGCCAGCAGCCGCGGUAAUACGUAGGCAGCAAGCGUUGUUCGGAGUUACUGGGCGUAAAGGGUGUGUAGGCGGUUCCCUAAGUUUGGUGUGAAAUCUCCCGGCUUAACCGGGAGGGUGCGCCGAAAACUGGGGAGCUAGAGUGUGGGAGAGGAAAGUGGAAUUCCUGGUGUAGCGGUGAAAUGCGUAGAUAUCAGGAGGAACACCUGCGGUGUAGACGGCUUUCUGGACCAUAACUGACGCUGAGACACGAAAGCGUGGGUAGCAAACAGGAUUAGAUACCCUGGUAGUCCACGCCCUAAACGAUGCAUAUUUGGUGUGGGCGAUUCAUUUCGUCCGUGCCGGAGCUAACGCGUUAAAUAUGCCGCCUGGGGAGUACAGUCGCAAGGCUGAAACUCAAAGGAAUUGACGGGGGCCCGCACAAGCGGUGGAGCAUGUG
rnacentral:rRNA from 1 species